UACGUAGGCAGCAAGCGUUGUUCGGAGUUACUGGGCGUAAAGAGUGCGUAGGCGGUUUUCUAAGUUUGGUGUGAAAUCUCCCGGCUUAACUGGGAGGGUGCGCCGAAAACUGGAAGGCUUGAGUAUGGGAGAGGUAAGCGGAAUUCCUGGUGUAGCGGUGAAAUGCGUAGAUAUCAGGAGGAACACCUGCGGUGUAGACAGCUUACUGGACCAUAACUGACGCUGAGGCACGAAAGCGUGGGUAGCAAACAGG
rnacentral:rRNA from 1 species